rnacentral:sRNA from 1 species
AUCAUCACCAAAAAAAGAAUCAGCAAAAAUGAUGGCACAAUCCAGCAGAACCUGCCAGGCCUCCACUGAUUCCGCAGGAGUCAGCAGGAUGACCAGGGCCAGUAGGAAUGCCAGGAGUCCUCUGCCGUGCCUCUCUUGGUGAAGUGAAGAUGAGCGAAGACUUGAGGCCAUCAAAGAGCUGCACAGCUAGCUAUAUACAACGUUACCAGCCAUCUUAUGCUCGCUACAGCAUCGCUGCCAGGAUGGACAAUUCCUAUAAAGGACUAACCAAAGCAAACGUUCCUUCCAUUGAAUUGCUACUAGUCAGCUUAGUAAACAUCAACUCUUAGAGGCAGUGAAAGAAGUUUUCCUUGAAAAGACACUUCAAAUUCAGGUCUCUCAAAUUAAAAAGUGAACACCAAGUUCAAAUUUGACAUCAAAAAAAUUCCGUCUUAGUUAUGGCUUUACUGCUGUGAACAGACCCCAUGACCAAGGCAACUCUUAUAAGGACA